CAGUCGCCACGGGAAUACAGAGGGUGCGAGCGUUAAUCGGAUUUACUGGGCGUAAAGCGUGCGUAGGCGGCUAAUUGAGUCGGAUGUGAAAUCCCCGAGCUUAACUUGGGAAUUGCAUUCGAUACUGGUUAGCUAGAGUGUGGGAGAGGAUGGUAGAAUUCCAGGUGUAGCGGUGAAAUGCGUAGAGAUCUGGAGGAAUACCGAUGGCGAAGGCAGCCAUCUGGCCUAACACUGACGCUGAGGUACGAAAGCAUGGGGAGCAAACAGGAUUAGAUACCCGCGUAGUCCCUGUCUCUUAUAA
rnacentral:rRNA from 1 species